rnacentral:misc_RNA from 1 species
AAAAUCCACGCUCCUCAAAGUCUCUGCACUGUUGGCGGGGAAUGCCCAAAUUUAAUGAAGAAUUUACUGCUGGUCUGAGUUUUCCUUGCAAACCAAUGGAAUGGAGUGCAUCAAGGCCACCAUUGGGUACUCCCGGAAUCAAUCCAAAUGCAUUCCAGGAAGCAUUUUGUGCAUGCGAUACAUUUGGCAAUCCCCUUCCUGCAAAGAG